GACGAACGCUGGCGGCGUGCCUAAUACAUGCAAGUCGAACGGAAAGGCCCGGCGCUUGCGGGUUGCUCGAUUGGCGAACGGGUGAGUAACACGCGAGUAACCCGUCCCUGACUUUGGGAUAACUUUAGGAAACUGGGGCUAAUAUCGGAUAGGAGCUCCUGCUGCAUGGUGGGGGAUGGAAAGAUUCGGCGGUUGGAGAUGGACUCGCUGGUUAUCAGCUUGAUGGUCGGGUAGUGGCUUACAAAGGCUUUGACGGAUAGCCCGCCUUGGAGGGUUACCGGGCUCAUUAGGCCUGAGGUACGCACCAGUAUGCUACGGGCGGCAGCAGUGGGGAGUAUUGCACAGUGGGGGGGAGCCUGAUAUGGAGGCGCCGGGUGCGGAAUGCCGGCCUUCGGGUUGUAAACAGCUUUCGACUGUGACAAGGCGUGAGUGACGGUAAUGGGUAAGAAAGCAACGGCUAACUACGUG
rnacentral:rRNA from 1 species